CUGGGAAACCCAGAAGUCUCAACUCUUCAGCCUCUUGGCCAGGAACUCCCUUAUUUUAUAGUAAUUAAAAAGUAACUAAAAUAUUGACUUGCAAGUGAUUUGUACAGAACUGCCUAAGCAAAGUAUGACAAUAUGAUGAUUGAAAGUCUGUAUUUCACUAAUUAUUUCACAUCCAUGACCUUAUUUGGUUCUCAAGAUGACCUUGGGAGAUUAAAAAAAAAUGAUGGUAAUAAGUCUAUUUAAUGCAGAAAAAAAGUUAAGAUACAUACUGAGAUAAUAACAAAGAUGGAAUUCAUAUUAGAUACCCUGGCUUGUGGUUCUGUGUUCUUUUUACUAUAACUCUUUUCUGUAUAAUAUUCUUUUCUGUAUAAUAUUCUUUUCCAACUUCUUUUAUGUUGUUCUUAAUAUUGUUUUGGCCUUUACUGACUCUUUUCCUAAAUGUAAGGACCAUGCCUCAGGAAGUUUUAUAUUUAAUUCAAUGUCUACUACCUAAGAGGCCUCAAGGAAUAUGUAUUGGGUUGGAAUAAAUGAUCUUAUAGUCAUACUGUUAUGAUCUUGUUUAGGCUUUCAUGUUCCCUGCAUUUAUUCCAUGAGAAAUAAGCCUGCCUGAGGUCUCAGUAGUGGUUUGGGAAAUAUUAAAAUCCAACUCACUGCCUUGCAUCAUCCAAAGAAGACAAGUAUUCAGGAAAUUUAAAAUUUAACACCCCAAAACAUAAAUGCCAGUCACCCUAAGUGUUAUAAGACAGUGGAAGCAGCCUUAAGUGGAAACAGCUGUUUACAAACCCACAGAGCUGCAGCUUUCUAAAGAUGUCACAUAUACAGACAGCCAGUUAGUUAACCUGAAUGAACAAGAUGCUGAUGUUUCUUGGGGAAGCUGCAGGUCAAUCCUGAUGGUCAUCCAGUUGGCAAGCACAGUCCUAACAAUCUCCAAAUAUUGCCUUCCCCUCUUCCCUGAGCUGGCCUCUCUGCUGGCUAGACUCAGCCGGGCCUCAGGCAAAGUUCAGACUGCGUCCCAUCACUUCUCAUGGUGGGACCUGCCCACCUUUCUCCUUGGUUGCAGCCUUUGGACCAGUGAUCCUGGGCUGGGUUGGAGUUGGAGUUAGACUGCCAGACCCUCCUUUUCUUAUUCCUCAUUUUGGUUGUUCAUGGCCAUGGGUAGUAGCUAGAUCUUAGUUCUUUGCUUCAUUCCCUUAUGGGAACCUGAAAUUUUUAGUGAAUGAUGUUGAGCUAUUUAUAACACCUGGGCUAGAGUCAUCAUCUAGCGCUGAAACUCUGAAACCUACCCCUUUUGAGAAAAAGCUGUGAUAACUGAGCUCUUCUAACUGAGCUCCAGUAAAUCUGCAAAGAAAAAUCAUUUAAAUCUCUUAAUAUCUGUGUGGAAGGGACUACCUUUUCUCCCUUCCAAAAAACAUAAAAUACAUUUAACAAUUUCUUCCUUAGAGCAGUAAUUCUUAAUUCUAGAGGCAUUCCUCAGUCAGUUUGACUGCUGUAACAAAAUACCAUAGACUGAGUGGCCUAAACAUGGAUUUCUCACAGUUCUAGUGACUGGAAGAUCAGAGUGCCAGCAUGGUGGACUUCUUGGUGAGAGAUCUCUUCUUGGUUAUGUCCUCACAUGGCAUGUUAUAUCCUUCUUGGUGUGUAUGAAAAGGGAGAGAGAGAGAUCUCCUGCCUCCUCAUUGUAUAAGGGCACUGAUUUCAUCAUCAGGGCCCCACCUUUAUGACUUAAUCUAACCCUGCUUAUCUCCCCAAAGCCCCAUGUCCAAAUACCAUUAUACUAGGUAUUAUUAGUAGGAUUUCAACAUAUGAAUUUUGAGGGGAUAUAAACAUUUGGUCCAAAGCAAUGCCAAUACAUAAUUAGAAUCAUUUGAGGAGCUUUUAAAAUUACUAAUAAUUAGGCUCUUUUCUCACAGACCAAUUACAUUAGAAUCUCAGGAGAGUGGGGCUUGAGAUUGCACAUUUCUAAGAAGCUCCCAAAUGACUAUCAACUACAAAUUGGCGUUUGCCAAGAGCAUUUGCCACCUGCCUCCGCAGAGACUGAAUCCUGUGCUGCAGCUGUUGACCCCCAACAUGCCCUGAAGGCAGUUCAGCGUGGAGAGUGAGGCACUCUGUGCUCCAGGGAAACUGGGAAACAGGUCUUUAUAGAUAGUUAGAUAUUNNNNNNNNNNNNNNNNNNNNNNNNNNNNNNNNNNNNNNNNNNNNNNNNNNNNNNNNNNNNNNNNNNNNNNNNNNNNNNNNNNNNNNNNNNNNNNNNNNNACCCUCAACAUGCCCUGAAGGCAGUUCAGGGUGGAGAGUGAGGUACUCUGUGCUCCAGGGAAACUGGGAAACAGGUCUUUAUAGAUAGUCAGAUAUUUUCAGGAACUGAUUUCACGAUUCCCGUCCCUUCAUCUCCUCAUAUUUCGAAAACCUUUCAUGGUGACAUCAGCCCCUGGUGACUAUCAGAAAACCUUUUGUAAAGUAAGCCUUGAUUGCAUUGAUCUCCACCUUCACCAAAAUCUUAUGCCCAUGUGACACAAUCACUAAAGCCUACAAGCUUAGAGCCCAUGCUGUGCCACAAGAGAAGUUGCCAAAAUGCUGAAGCUGAAGCUCCAAUACUCACACCCCGCAACUAGAGCAUGUCCCCCACUCACCACAACUAGAGACUGCCUGUAUGCAGCAAUGAAGACCUAUCACAGCCAAAAAUAAAUAAAUAAACACAGUUUUUUAAUUAACUGGAAGGUUUCUAGAAUACAGAUUGUUAGGCCCCACUUUAG
rnacentral:lncRNA from 1 species